rnacentral:rRNA from 1 species
GUCCACGCCUUAAACGAUGAUAACUCGCUGUUGGCGAUACACUGUCCAGCGGCUAAGCGAAAGCGUUAAGUUAUCCACCUGGGAAGUACGACCGCAAGGUUGAAACUCAAAGGAAUUGACGGGGGCCCCGCACAAGCGGAGGAGCAUGUGGUUUAAUUCGAUGGUACGCGAGGAACCUUACCUGGGCUUGAAAGUUAGUGACCGGCUGUGAAAGCAGCCUUUCCGCAAGGACACGAAACUAGGUGCUGCAUGGCUGUCGU